rnacentral:rRNA from 1 species
GAUCAAGUGUCUUAAGGGCAAUUGGUGGAUGCCUUGGCAUGCACAGGCGAUGAAGGACGUGAUACGCUGCGAUAAGCUACGGGGAGGUGCGAAUACCCUUUGAUCCGUAGAUUUCCGAAUGGGGAAACCCACCUAAGGUGCUUGGAAAAUCAGAGUAGCAUGAGCGACAAUCUCUUCGAGAUUGCGCUGGUGCUGCUGUGGUUUCCAAGUAUCAGAUAUAGGUAACUUAUCCUGAAUACAUAGGGAUAAAGUGGCGAACGCGGGGAACUGAAACAUCUAAGUACCCGUAGGAAAGGACAUCAACCGAGACUCCGGAAGUAGUGGCGAGCGAACCCGGACCAGGCCAGUGGCGAUUGAGAGACAAGCGGAACCUUCUGGAAAGUAGGGCCAUAGUGGGUGACAGCCCCGUACGCGUAAUGCAAUCAAUCGUCCUCGAGUAAGGCGGGACACGUGAAAUCCUGUCUGAAAUUGGGGGGACCACCCUCCAAGCCUAAGUACUCGUGCAUGACCGAUAGCGAACUAGUACCGUGAGGGAAAGGUGAAAAGCACCCCGACAAGGGGAGUGAAAGAGUACCUGAAACCGAUUGCCUACAAACAGUGGAAGCCCAAGGUUCGUCCUGGGUGACCACGUACCUUUUGUAUAAUGGGUCAGCGACUUAGUGUGACGAGCAAGCUUAAACCGCUAGGUGUAGGCGCAGCGAAAGCGAGUCUGAACAGGGCGUUCAGUUCGUCGCAUUAGACCCGAAACCGAGUGAUCUAGCCAUGAGCAGGUUGAAGGUAAGGUAACACUUACUGGAGGACCGAACCCAUAACUGUUGCAAUAGUUCGGGAUGACUUGUGGCUAGGGGUGAAAGGCCAAUCAAACUCGGAAAUAGCUGGUUCUCCGCGAAAUCUAUUUAGGUAGAGCGUCGACCGAAUACCCCAGGGGGUAGAGCACUGGAUGGGCUAGGGGUCCUCACCGGAUUACCAAACCUAACCAAACUCCGAAUACCUGGGAGUACUAGUCGGCAGACACACGGCGGGUGCUAACGUCCGUCGUGAAAAGGGAAACAACCCUGACCUACAGCUAAGGUCCCCAAGUUAUGGCUAAGUGGGAAAGGAUGUGAGGAUCCCAAAACAACCAGGAUGUUGGCUUAGAAGCAGCCAUCAUUUAAAGAAAGCGUAACAGCUCACUGGUCUAAAUAAGGGUCUUUGCGCCGAAAAUGUAACGGGGCUAAAGCCAUACACCGAAGCUUAGGGUUUGGUCCGCAAGGG